CCACCAUUCAAUUGGUAAAAUAUUAAUUCCCAAUCCAACAACAUGAAGCUGGUUAUACUGUGUGCUUUUCUCCUGAUCGUUGGUGUCGCAGCGAGGCAGCUAGACUGCAUGUGUGAACCAGACCACGACUUAUGCGCAAGCAACUAUGUAACAUAUGCGGGAGUAUGUGAAAUGAAUUGCGACGCGCGUAGAUUAGGAACCGAUCUCUAUGUCAUAUACCAUUGGGCAUGCAAAUAAAACAGUUCAAAAUAA